rnacentral:pre_miRNA from 1 species
UUAACUCAAAUUUGUAUGGAGUAGGAACGUUUGCCUACGUUUGCCGCUAGGGGCUCUGUUCCAACUGCAUACAAAUAUGAGUUG